CCACAACAAAAUGCGACACAACUGUAACACACGAAGCUAAAGGUGCAACACAAGAAAAGGUGAAAGGUGACGUCACAGGAGAUAAAGGGGCAACACAACAAAAGGCGACACAACUGUAACACACGAAGCCAAAGGUGCAACACAAGAAAAGGUGAGAGGUGACGUCACAGGAGAUAAAGGGGCAACACAACAAAAGGCGACACAACUGUAACACACGAAGCUAAAGGUGCAACACAAGAAAGGGAGAGGUGACGUCACAGGAGAUAAAGGGGCAACACAACAAAAUGCGACACAACUGUAACACACGAAGCUAAAGGUGCAACACAAGAAAAGGUGAGAGGUGACGUCACAGGAGAUAAAGGGGCAACACAACAAAAUGCGACACAACUGUAACACACGAAGCUAAAGGUGCAACACAAGAAAAGGUGAGAGGUGACGUCACAGGAGAUAAAGGGGCAAAACAAAAAAGGUGACACAACUUUAACACACGAAGCUAAAGGUGCAACACAAGAAAGGGAGAGGUGACGUCACAGGAGAUAAAGGGGCAACACAACAAAAGGCGACACAACUUUAACACACGAAGCUAAAGGUGCAACACAAGAAAAAGAGAGGUGACGUCACAGGAGAUAAAGGGGCAAAACAAAAAAGGUGACACAACUGUAACACACGAAGCUAAAGGUGCAACACAAGAAAAAGAGAGGUGACGUCACAGGAGAUAAAGGGGCAAAACAAAAAAGGUGACACAACUGUAACAUAUGAAGCUAAAGGUGCAACACAAGAAAAGGUGAGAGGUGACGUCACAGGAGAUAAAGGGGCAACACAACAAAAUGCGACACAACUGUAACACACGAAGCUAAAGGUGCAACACAAGAAAAGGUGAGAGGUGACGUCACAGGAGAUAAAUACCCAGUCAGCGUAGGAACAUUCCAUUGUUUAGUUAGCUUUGUGUCUGGGAGGAGUGAAGAGAUGAGUUUGCACAGGAAGGAGAGGAAGAGGAAGAGGAAGGUGAAGGUGUGCCUUUUCCUAGUGACAACAUUACUGACAUGGAGAUAUUUUAAUGGCAUAACAUUGUUAUAAUGAAUGAAUAUAUUAGUGCAGAUGUA